AGAAAAGCUUCUAAGCUUCAGGUAACCAGGAACCGUACCCCAAACCGACACAGGUGGUUGGGUAGAGAAUACCAAGGCGCUUGAGAGAACUUGGGUGAAGGAACUAGGCAAAAUGGCACCGUAACUUCGGGAGAAGGUGCGCCGGUGAGGGUGAAGGACUUGCUCCGUAAGCUCAUGCCGGUCGAAGAUACCAGGGCGCUGCGACUGUUUAUUAAAAACACAGCACUCUGCAAACACGAAAGUGGACGUAUAGGGUGUGACGCCUGCCCGGUGCCGGAAGGUUAAUUGAUGGGGUUAGCGUAAGCGAAGCUCUUGAUAG
rnacentral:rRNA from 1 species